UUUUUUUUUUUUUUUUUUUUUUUUUGCUAUUUCAGAACACUCCUUGUGUGCCCCUUGGGAUACUUUGACUGCCUUUGACUUUGUGAGAAAUUAAUCAUCCAGCCAUAGCUAUUCUGUAAAACAUGGUGGGAAAUAUGAACUUUAACCCACCUGUCAAGCUUCCCUCAAAAUGGGAGCCUAAAGCGUCUUCUGCUUUAAAUUAUAGAUGUUUACAUACUCCUUGUUGUGCAGACUUCAGAUCUUUAUCAUGUAAGAUGUAUCAACUAAAUUAGGAAGUUAACCACCAGCAAGAUUCUCAAUGUAAAACAGCAUUAAACAAUGGAAAUGAAGGGAAUGGGUGAAAAUGGUCAAAGGGUGAAAACAUCCAGUUUUAAGAUGAAUGACUUCUGGGGAUGGAGUAUGCAUCAUGGUGAUGACACUUAACAAAGUACUGUACUAUAUAUUGGAAAGUUGCUAAGAGUAGAUCUUAAGAAUUAUCACAAGAAAUUAACCACAUGUGUGAUAGGGAUGUUAACUAAACUUCCUUUUGUAAUGAUUUUGCAGUCUAUACAUAUUUCAUGUUGUGUCGGACAGCUUGAACUACCAUAAUGUUAUAUGCUAAUUACAGCUCUGUAAACUGAAAACAAGAGACAAAAGGGAAAAUAUAUUAAUAUAAAUAUGUAGAAGACAUAAGGAAGUAGAACAUACCCAUAAGUCUUAUUAUCCUUUUUUUUUUCUCUGCCACAGUGGCAAGGUGAUAAUGUGUUCUUUCCACAAUACACUCUGAAUAAUUGCCUUGCUUUCAGCCACCAUUUCAACCAAUCAAAUAGGCUUUCUGGCUUAGCUUACCUAACCCCUUUUCCUGAGGGAUCUGAGUUCUUCAUGAUCCUUCUUCUAUUGGGUUUCUAUAGACUUCCAUUAACUUUAACCACUGAGAAUGAGGGUGUGAGGAGAUGCCCUAGAGGAACCUGUGAAUAUCAAAUAUAGAAGCAUGGAUGUAGAUUAACAAAAAAGUUGUAGGUGGAUGUCAGGGGUUUUCAGUAGAGGCAUCAUUAACAUCAUGAGCUGUGUAAUACCCAUUUUUUGGAAAGAUGUGUUAAAGUCUACCACUCAGUGUCUUCCUCUACUUUGGUCUGUUUUGACUUUCAUUUCUAAAAAAUUUAUUCCAAUGUAAUUGGCAUACAGUAUUAAAUUAGUUUCAGGUGUACAAUAUAGUGGUUCAACAUUCCUGUAUAUUACUCAGUGCUCAUCACAAAAUAUACUUUUAAUCCCCUUUAACUGUUUCAUCCACCCACCCCACUUCCUUUUGUUGGUUCUCUAUAGUUUAGAGUCUGCUUUUUGGAUUGCCUCUUUUUUUCCCUUUGUUCACUUAUUUUCAUCCUUAUAUUCCACAUAUGAGUAAAAUCAUAUGGUAUUUGUCUUUUUCUGACUUAUUUCAUUUAACAUUAUAGUCUCCAGAUCCAUCCAUGCUGUCAGGGGUGAAUAUUACUCCUAUUAUAUUUAAUGAUGAUCCCUUAUGUGCAUAUAUAUAGCAAAAUAUGCAUUUAAACUUUUUUAUUUCUUUACCAACUCCCUGGAGUUCUGUAGUAUAUAUAGAUGUUUAUGAUAAAGGUAACAAAUCUAUAGAGAUAGAGGUGGGAGAGAGACUGAGAAAUAGCAGAUAAAAAUCAGUAAUUUUUUAACAUAAAGUCAUCUCUUCACUUCUUGACAUUCUUAGGUUGAUAUUUGUCCUCCUUACUUCAUUCAAUAGAAAGAAGACAAGUCUUGUGGCUCAGCCUUAAAAACAAAGAAGAUUCCUUAUUUCAGGUUGAACAUUAAGGAAGGGAGCAAAAGUGUUGUAAGUACUUAAUACUUUUUUCAAUAUGAUAUUUUCUAUGUAUUAAUUUGAAAAGACAAUAGAAAAUGAUGAGCUUAUACUUCAGUAAUACUAACUCAGAAUAGAGUUGGAAAAAGGACAUACCAACAACAUAGAAACAUUUACAAGGUAAUCAAGGUAAACUAAAUCCUUGCUUUUGUACAACAGCAGAGCCAGAUGAUUUUAUACAGUGACAGCAUUGCAGGAUGGAUUAUGAAUUGGUGCUAAGGAACCAUAGACUUGAUGGGAGCCCUUGAUUUAUUUAUCUGUCAAGAACAUAAAGUGUAUAGAGGUGAAUUGGUGUUUUGCUGUCUUUUGUUAUAUAACAAACUACCCUAGGACUUAAUGCUUUUAAGUCACUAUUUGUUUUCACCUAUGCUUUGGUAAGUCAGGAAUUUGGAGAGCACUUGUCUGGUAGCUUCCUUUAUUUAUUUUAUUUUAUUUUAUUUUAUUUUUUUAUUUUAUUUUAUUUUAUAUUUUAUUUAAUUUUAAUUUAAUUUUAUUUAUUUUAUUUUUUUAUAAAUUUAAUUUUUAUUGGUGUUCA
rnacentral:lncRNA from 1 species